rnacentral:lncRNA from 1 species
CUUCCACAAAUUUUCAGAAUUGUUUCCCAACUGUGAUCCUAGCAGGGGGGCAUUCUCAUUCCAUCCAGAAACCUUCUCCACCGAACAUAUAUUAGCACCUUCAGAAUAAUAUUUAUCCAAUCCAAUACUCAUGUCAUGGGUGGGAGCUGUGUACCCCCUGUUGGUCCACAUCCAGUCCAGAUCAACAGCUUCAGGAGGACAUCUUAUUGGGGUGCGGAGAUCAUUAAGCUCCAAAAAGGGUGCUUCUUCACCCAUUAGCACUGGGUUCAGAUUAUAGUCAGCAUCAUGAUAUGAUGAGAUGUUUAAUCCAUUAGCACCUUCAGAAUAACAUUUAUCCAACCCAAUACUCAUGUCAUGGGUGGGAGCUGUGUAUCCCCUGUCGGUCCACAUCCGGUCCACAUCAACAUCUUCAGGAGGACAUCUUAUUGGGGUGCGGAGAUCAUUAAGCUCCAAAAAGGGUGCUUCUUCACCCAUUAGCACUGGGUUCAGAUCAUAGUCGGCAUCAUGAUAUGAUGAGAUGUUUAAUCCAGUGUCCCCCAACUCUAUCCAGUCAUCCAGGUCCCCAAUGAUAUCAU